rnacentral:rRNA from 1 species
CGCUGGCGGCGUGCUUAAUACAUGCAAGUCAACUUGACUUUAGAUAGCAAUAUCGAAAAGUAGGGUGGCGCACGGGUGCGUAACGCGUAGGUAAUCUGCCAUGAGGUCUGACAUAACCCGUCGAAAGGCGGGCUAACAUCAGAUGAUAUAUAAUCACGACAUCGUGGAAAUAUCAAAUCUUCGGAGCCUUGGGAUGAGCCUGCGUCUGAUUAGGUAGUUGGCGGAGUAAUAGCCCACCAAGCCUACGAUCAGUAGCUGGUCUGAGAGGAUGAUCAGCCACACUGGAACUGAGACACGGUCCAGACUCCUACGGGAGGCAGCAGUAAGGAAUAUUGCUCAAUGGGGGAAACCCUGAAGCAGCAACGCCGCGUGAAGGAUGAAAUACUUUUGUAUGUAAACUUCUGUAAGAUGGGAAAAUAUUCUCCUCGGGAGAAUUGAUUGUACCAUCAGAGUAAGCCCCAGCUAACUACGUG